GGGAGUCAGUCGGUGUGGAGUGGCUCUGGGAUGAAGGAGUGAAAAUAACGAGGCGCUCUUGAAGACAUCGCAGCGUCUGGAUUGGCCGUUUUUUUGACCCACUUUCUCGGCUGUCCAGCUGGCGGCCCGGAGAAAACGUCGCAGGUAAGUGAACUUCAGCGGUCAUUGAGUUCACAGCAGCAGGGACAUGUGUCCUUAUGUGUGUUCGUGCUUGUGUGUUGGUGUGAAUGGAGGGGUUAGGUAAUGGACCCCCGCCCCACUUCACCCGCCUCAGGCAUAAUGGCGCUCCAGCCAUCUAGAUGAGUGGACGACCUCCGACCUUUCCCUGUCUCGCCACAGGCUCAGGUCCGCUCGGGUCAAACCAGGUGGCUCUCAAGAACCCACCAGCCUGUUUGGGAGCAAGUGACAUUUGAACCCGUUGCACUCCAGUAUCAAACGCGCUCUUACGGCUAAUGAAGAAACCCUUGCACCUUGUGUGCGCGUGUUAAUGAGCGGCACCCAAUUAUUUUGCCAGUAAACAUAUAGAUCAGAAACAGUCUUUAAAGUGUGAAAUGCUGGACUUGCUUACGUCGCAGGUUAAGUAAACCAAAAUGAUGUCGCUGCCAGCAUGGCAUCAGUUAUCCCAAGCUCAAUUUCCUCCUCAAAUUGUUGCCAUAUAUGGCAUCAAAAAGGAGUCAAAUCUAGAUUAUGAUGUAGUCUUGCUACUUUGACUGUAUAGAGGUUGUUUUUUUGUGGGGGAAAGUAAAUACUGUAUGUAAAUGUGGCUGUCUCUUCCAUUGUUUCUGAAAGGAAAGAGGGAGUUUGGUUGGAGGGGAAACGCCAGGAAAUGACAGGCAUUCUUUGUCAACUAUUUGAAAAUAAACUUCCUAAGGCUAAACAUAAACUAGUAAGUAUGAGUUGAUCACGCCAGUAAUGUAAAUAUGUUUAGUAUUUGUGCUUUAAGGGUGGUAAUGUUGGAUUUUAGUCUUGGGCUGAAGCUAAUUUUGGCGUCUAAGAAGGCCACACGUUUUAUUCCUAAAUUGUCCUUGUUUUGCCUCCUCGCUUCCCUUCCUUAACCCCGCUGCUGCGCGGCUUUACGAGGUGUGACAGCGAGGUCUGCGUGCCGAGACGGGCCACGCCGGCUGGAACGUAAAGCUUUACAUUCCGUCGUUAGUGGUGGGUUUGUGGAGGACCUAAACUCACUUCACCCUUAUAGGGUCCCUCACAUACAGGAAGUGCCGACGUUCUGCUGAGCUGGCAUGAAAGCGGCAGCUUGCAAGGGAGGGGGGGGGAAAAAAACCUGGCUUCUUUAACCGCAAAACUCCUAAUUACGCUCAUGCAACCUUUAAUGAAAGAAGAUGCCCUCUGACAGAAAACUGGGGGGGAAAGUAGAACCAGAUGCUUUUACAUUUUUGCACAAUCAUACAUGGCGUUUUUUUCCCUCCUUCAAAACCAGGUGUUCUUCCUCUCACAUCCUUUUGAGAUUUAAUAACAGGCUUUAUUUAACAGACAAGCCUUUCUUUAGUCCCGCCGUACGUGGCGUUUAACACCUCGCUCUCCCGCCUUUUUUGUUUUGUUGUUGUUUUUCCCAGCAGGCCAGUGGAGGUUCCCAGGUAUGUGAGCAGCGUAGCGUGGCUGGGAGGCCGGUUGUUGUGUCCUGUGUGAGACAAAAGCAGCGUGCCUGAAGGAGAGGGAUGAAAGAAAAGGGGCAGUGCGGCCACUCCUUUUUACAAUGGGAAACCUCCUUAGUGAGCUUGUCGAGCAAAUAGCCACCUUUUCUCGUCUGCUUUAACAAGCGCCGGAACAAAGUGUGGCCCGCUUUUUGUAGCAGGAAGUGGAGGAAGUGUCUAUAUGCUGUGAAUGAACACACGAGGGAUGUCUGAAGGGAUGCGUUUUCUCUGAUGCUACGCAAAGGUGCGUGUAGUUUUAAUCACCACCAUUUUGUUUUUGAAGUCUUAAAUUAUAAGCACUAAAUUGAAAGACUUUUUUUAGUCUGAUUUAUCGAUGGUGUUUACUGGAUUUGCUAAGCUAUUAUUACUUAUAUUCAAUUUUCAUUCAAGUUGGCGUCUCAAAAUGCGCCAUCGUUGCGCAGGUUUACCAGGGCCUCAGUUUGUUUGCGACAAAAUUGCUAAAAUAAUAUAGUAUAGUAUGAGUAUUUGGUCAAAUAUGGAGGUUUGCUAAGUGUGAAGUCCCUCUUUCAGGCGAGUUUAUUCUUAAACACUGACUCUCUCUGUGUCCAAAAUCUCAGACGGCGUGACCCCACUGGCGCUGUGUGUUCUGUUAUCUUCUGUCGGGCGGAGGGGGGUGAAAAAAAAAAAAAGCAAAACACACACACACACACACACAGAGGAGACUUUUACAGCGCCACUCGAGACACAACCUGUUCUCAGACACUUCUCUUCCGGCACUUUUUUAUGACAUCAUAAAUUCCUUCAUUUCCACUGACCAGCUAGGUGGGUUCGGUGGACAUACCUGCUCAGUGGUUGUCUCUCAUUGGUCGGUCUGGAUUGUAUGUUUGGCGACUUCCUCGCCUUCCUUCACUUACAUCUCAGAUCAAACCGAAGCAUUUUUCCUCAAUAUGACUGGUGAUUUAAGUCAGCUCAAACACUUUUAAUAGUCAGGCGCAGAAAAAAAGAAUCGGGGGGCGGGGGGUGAAAGCGAUUUAGGAGAAGCCCUUCCUGCGUUCACACUCAUCCGAUGCAUGGCUGAGACUCCUGGGGGAACCUGGAACAAUACACGCACCAGCACGACAACAUUCCUUGGGGUUAAAAAGGUCAGAGGUCACCCAAAGACCCCACCCUUUCAAUCAGACCCAAGGCACAAACUCAGCGCCUUUUGUUUUAGUUUAUGUCCUCGCACUUGUCGAACAGACCCUGCACCUCAUGGUGGGAGCUUUUAACCUCCAUUUAUUUCAAACCUAGUGAGUUAAAUUCGUGUGCGGGGGAAGUAGGUGUCUCUCGGUCAGCGUCUACCCUGAUUUAAACUCAGAUUUGCAUCAAUAACUAUUACUAAAGUCCCAUGCGUUGUCAUAUUUAAGCAAAUCUUGUCCUGAAUUCAGCUCAAAUUCAGCAUUUUUUUAGAUUUAGAUGCUAGUCAUUAACUAUUUAUUGCAUCGUUCUACUUUAUUUAUAACCCACUGGAGUGUUUUCAGUGCACAGAUUUGUUCUCUUCUUGCUAGUGCAUCUUUACUCCGCCCCAAAUGUCAUUGACAGAGUGAAGUUAGCUGUGUGUCCGCAACUUUAACUUUUUAAGUUUUCAUAAAAAAGACUGGGCUGAUCAAUUUUAUUAGAAUUUAUUUCUUAUCUUAAACAGAUUAUAUCUGGUUUAUUUCUGGUUCUGGUUCUUUGAAAGGCAGACAGGAAGGAGGCUGGAGUAAUGAGUGGCACAAGACAGCGGCGUGUAGCGAUGCUCGCCGCAAAUUCAACCGUCUCAUUCCUGUCCUACGACAGGGAGGUUGUGUGAUCAGUCUACGAUCUGCUCCUAACUUUAAAUUGACCGUCUUGCUGUCAUCCGAAUUGAAACGCCGCUCUCGCAUGCAGACGACAAGGAGGAAGCCGAAGAAUGGAUUGCCAGAUUUUCUGUAAAAAAGGCGGUGCGGCGCUGGGGUCAGGGAUAAUAAUCCUGCCAGAUGUUUGGCAGGCAGACGUCCACCAGCUGAACAAAACCACCACAACGCCGCUAUUAUUAUGGAGCACAUUUAGCAUGAAUUCCCACUUUAUAUAAUGACGGCUAAUGUGCCGAAACAUCCUUGUUUUUGUUAUUUCUGCAGACACCUUUUUUUUACGUGCAGAAGUGGAUCGCUUUCAUACCGAGGCGUUCAGGGCCCCUAUAGGCCGAGCGGAGGUCUGUUAGCAAUUAUGAGUGAAUGUACAGUACAGGCUGGACAUGCAGCUACAGUGGGGCCCCGCCCACCGCCACAUCAGACCACCCCAGAGACGGAGCGCUGGCACUUCCUCUGCCUCCUCCUACAGCCGCGCCUCGGGGGAAGUUCGUUUGGGGAUUUCCGGAGGAUGUGCUGGACAUGAUGGGACACUCAUAAAAACGAUUCCCAGCCUGGAAUAUUGGGUUUGGUUUUUAACCUUGACUGUUGUGUCGUCCUGCAGGUGCCACCUUCAGCCUGCUGCGGAGCAUAUCUCCCUCAGGUAUGACUGUAAACAGUCGUGCUUUGAAGUGACAAGUUCAGUCAUAAAGAGGGAAUAAAUUGAUGAGUCAUAAAAAGAGCACUAAUAAAUUGAUUCUGUGUUUUACAUGUACAUUUUAGGAGCCUGAAGGAACAAUGAAUCAGUGUAUUAGAUGUUCUUUAUUAGUCCCACAGUGGGGAAAUUCAACCAAAAUCAAACAGAAUAUGUCCAUCUGAGGCACAAGUAGCUACAGUGAAAUACUUUUUACUCAAAAAUUCCAUGAUAAUUCAACUUCAACAUUGACAUUAAUAGAAGAAAAGGCUCUGUCAAUAGUCUACCCCUGACUUCACAUGUUCAGCUGUCAAGUUUGUCUUACAUGGACAGUUAUAGUGAAGCUGUAAGGGAUGUUGGGACUUGCCACAUAGCAUCAUUCCUCAGCGCUCACCUUAGAAUCAUAGCGUUUUAUCCGAGAAACUCAAAGCCUGUGACAUCAUCACAACGUCUGUUAUGGAUCACAUGACCCGCCACUUUCAUGCUGGACGUCCCAUAAUGCGCUGCAAAUAUUCAGAGAGCAUUUUUCACUUGUAUUUUUAUUUGUUUUCCUUAAUAUUUUGAAAUGUUCUGAACCCUACUCAGUGCUAAAUGUCAGCCAUCUUCAAAAAAAGUUAUGCUGUCACUCUGAAACAUGAAGUCAAAUACUUUCUGUGGUGUAAUUAUCUGCCAUUUUCAAAGAUUAUCUGGGACCAUCACACAGUGUUUCAAAUUGAGCGUCUGCAUGUGAUUCGAUCUGCGCUCAGCGUUGCUCCCCUGCCUUCCCUUCGGCCCCGCGUUUAAGAUGGAUUUGCUAUGAAUCCACCGAGCAACCCCCAUCGCAACACACACACACACACUCUUAAAUGUAUAUGCCACAGGGUCCCGGCACAAAAGAAAUAUUCAGCAGUGGAGAGGGGGUCCCCCAGAGGGCGCGACAUUGAACUGGGGGGGGAUUAAGAAGAAAUGGCUGACACUGGGGUUGCCAUGGCAAAGACCCCUUUUCUUCUAUCCCUCGACCCUGCGCCUAUUUUUCAUGUUAGCUCUCAUUGUGCUGGAAAGAGAAGCUAAAAUAUUGUUUACAAUAGCAAGUGGUAUAGUUCUUUAGCAUGUUUUUGAAUGCUGUUUCUUUAAAAAGAAACAUUUAUUGAUUAAGUAUAAUAUUCCUCAUUUUUUUCUUUGCAUCGUACGUCCCCAAAUUUAGUCUCUGAUGCAAAAAAAGUUAAAUUAUCUGCCUCAUUUUUUGCAAGAUAGUGUUGCGUUCACUGACUUAAAUGUAUUUCAAGCAAACUACAGUUGAUUAAUAGCCAAAUCCUGCUGUUAAGACACUAAACUAUGAUUAUUUUCAUUAGUAUUUUGCUGCAUUCUCGCCUUUUUUAGACAAAGUGAGACAUAAAAGUGUGGUUUAUAUAAUGGCAAUGUAUCCUCUGAGAUAUCAAGAAUUAUUUUAUAACUCAAGAGUGUUGCUGCAGUUUUCUCCAGUAUAUUUUAUUCUUCCAUAAAGGGAAUCAUUUUGUGCAUUUGCUUGUUGCAUAUCCAUGGCUGGCGUGAGAGAAGCAAUAAUUCAAAGGGUCACAUGACAAUCCCCCGAAUUGUCUCCUUUAUGAGUCUGUGAAUUGUGGCCGCCGCAACGUGACACAGUCACAGCGACGACUGUGUUAUCUGACGUCUCCGGCAGCAUUAUAGAUGAACGUGGGUUCUGUUCGGUGACAUCAGCAACCGAGCUGAUAAAACAACAAACGUCCAUAGAUCAGCAUCCUGACGUCAGCAGCGGUCAGUCGCCGGGUCCGCGGCCGCUGACAAUAGAGCUCUCAGUCUGGGGGUCGCAGAGUGAAAAGCUGCUGGGCUUGACACGGCUCCAUUGUUAGGGACAUGUUUAAUGCAGCAGCCGGGUGACAUAUAAAUGCCAUGGUUAGAUUGUGAACUCAAAAUAAUGGAGGAGACAAGCAGUCAGUGAGCAGCUAUGAUGCUAACAACAUCCUAACAGCUGUAUUUACUUAACAUGUGUUAGCAUUUUAAAGGUCAAUAUUCACAUAAAUCAGGAGUUAGGAGUUCAUAUCCUUUCUGGAAACUAACAUUGAAACAAAUGGUUUAUUUAUGUGUUUUGUUUGUGUCAUUUCACCAAAUAAAUUGUUGCUUUUAUGCCCUUAUUCCUCAUGAUAGUUUGAGUGUGUUUACUUGUCUUUGGAUAAAAAAAUAAAUAUAUAUUUAUUAAUACUAUUUUUAAUUCUAUUAUUAUGGUAUUUGUCUUAAUUAUAUCCAUAAAUCUGAAUAUAUUUCUGUGACAGUUUUAAGUUAACAUUUUUUUUAUUAUUAUUUUUUUCUCACAUCAAUAGCUGAGGUGUUGGUGAUGACAUGACCCUGUUGUAAAUAUUAAGGAAAACAGAAUGUUACUGUCUCUUUCUGUUGCUAUUAUGAACAUGAAUGAAAAGUAUUGAAAGUUAUCUGAUGAUUCCUUCUCUUAUGUCUUUCAGCUGCUCCCUAGUUUGAGUGGAGAAGAAGCUCCGGCAAUAAAAGAAGCGGAUGGUGCUGCCUAGUUUGAGUGGAGAAGAUGCUCCGGCGAUAAAUGCAGCGGAGGGUAAGAGGUUGAGUUCCGUGGUCGACUCGCCGCGUGGUCCAGACCUGAUCGCUGUGUCCGCUCCUCAAACAUGGCCUCCGCUCCGUGUUGACUGUUUGCUUGAGUGCCGGCGGCCCACUUGCACGCCACCGCGGCCUCAGCUGCGGCUCUGCUGCCUCGGUGAACAUUCAACGCUGUCGGUGAGUUUGGAUGACAGAUAAACCAUCGACCGUUGACUGUGCCCCGCGGCCUGCGACUCAGACGCCAUUAAAAAAAAAAAAAAAAAAGCUCAGCUGUGCGAGGAAGAAGUGCGGAGUGCGUCCACUGCACCCACGGAGCAAAGGUCACAAUCAACAUUCAUUGCUGUCGCUGGGUUGAACUGUGUGAAAAGCUCACUGAACAAUGAGUGCAACUGUGGCCCAAAUCUGCCCGCCGAGCGAGGUUUUUCUUUUUGUUUUUCAAACGUUGCCCUUCACCUCCACUCCUUCUGCCGCGAUGCAAAUAGACCUCUGGCUGCUGCUCAUCUUCCUCCUCUAAUUGGUGGUUGUGUGCGCGGCAAGCAGGAAGGAAGUGGAGUGAAUGUGUAAUCAUUCCGACUCUCUUCUCCUCAGAUGUUGCGUCUCUGUCCUUUUUGUUUGUCUAAUUACACCCCGUGCUCAGUUAACUCCGUUAACUACGACUCUGCAGUGGCACUAAUGAACCAGAGGCACGGCAGGGCAGAGGAGACACCAUUGAAGGUUUGAAGUGGAGGUGUUGCCACGUCACUCACUGGCUUCAUCCACUGUGUUCUUGAGGAACCACUGCAAGAACAUGCACUACUUUGUGUGUCUGGAUUAUCCUGGACAUGAAACCAGUAGGAAGAAUUCUCAAAACCAGCAAAAAAGCUGACUAUUUAUGCCUUUAUUCAGUUGUUUAUAUACCCUGCCUGCACCUUGUUUUGUGAGCUAAGUUCUACACUAUAUUCUAAUUCCAUCCAUUAUUAAAACAGCUUCAUGAAGUCACGUGUAAAAGCUGAUAUCUUGAGCCGUGCUUUUUUUUUUUAGUUUAUUUUUGUCUCUCUGUAACCAAACAAUAAAAGCCAAAGCAACAAACCUGACCUUCUGUGAUUCUUGGAACUUUGACGAAACUUUUCGAACUGGUCCUCUUUCAUGCAGUCUGUCUCUCCUUCUGUCA